rnacentral:rRNA from 1 species
ACGCUCGACACCUACGGAGGCAGCAGUGGGGAAUAUUGCACAAUGGGGGAAACCCUGAUGCAGCGACGCCGCGUGGAGGAAGAAGGUCUUCGGAUUGUAAACUCCUGUUGUUGGGGAAAAAGAGGAUGGUACCCAACAAGGAAGUGACGGCUAACUACGUGCCAGCAGCCGACGGUAAUCUGAGGCGGGCGUGGACAAGGC